CUGAGAAAUACAAUAUUUCAGAGUUAUAUCAGACUGUCAUUGGUACAGCUUCACAUGGCAGGAACCUCUGUCAAUUAAGAAAAUUGAUUAACAAUCUUUCACAAGUAUUGUAAAAUAAUCAGAGGAAGAAACAAAUGCAAGAUUUUCAUUCAACAAAGCGUUUCUACGGCAUCAACAAGACGGCGAUGACGUCUGAUUGCAGAGGUGGAUACCGAUACUUCUACCUGGAAAAACUCAGAAUGUUGCUAAAUGGUGGAUGAUUAAAUUUGCUGCUGGAGAAAUUUGUACUGCAAUAUACAAAUGCACCUCAACUUGGAGUAUGCAUUAGCCCUUGAAGGAUGCUGCAUCUGUGACUACUUACAAUAAUUGGAGUACAUGUAUCAAGUGUGAGAAAACCUAGGAGGAAACUUACGUAGCUGGUGACAAUGGUCGGGCGACACACACUCAGCAUUUUUCCUGUGGUACAGCUGUUCUGAACCGCCAAAUUAUGGCCAAAUCCGACCGGUGUUACGUGGUGUUGCAGUAUGUAGCGUGUGGUGUAGGUAUAUGCUAUAUUCG